AAGAUGGAGGCUGCGAGAACAUUCCAAAGUAUCUACUUGAUGCUACAAAGCUUUGUAGCAAACCAGCUUCUUGAUUGUCCAACUGCAGAGGACACAACUCAAGUCAAGCUCUUAUUUGGAGCAAAAGGGACUGUCAGCAUCCAAGGCAAGUGUGUUGGAGGUGAGCGCAGGGUUGCAAUUUAUCGGAUGGAGAGGGGUGUAGAAAAAUGGACAGUUAAUUGUUCAUGUGGAGCGAAGGAUGAUGAUGGUGAGAGGAUGCUAUCUUGUGACUCAUGCCAUGUGUGGCAGCACACUAGGUGUGUUGGAAUUAGUGAUUUUGUUCAGGUGCCGAAGAGAUUUGUGUGUGCAUCUUGUAAAUUACUCCACAAGUCUAAGAUGUAUAGUAGUUUCCCUAACAAAAGAUGUAAGACUGGCUCUUUUAGUCAUGCCAGUAGUGGGUUGUGGAGGCCCAACAUCAGUUAACAUGUACAUAUCGACAACAAUGAGUUCCUAAUAUGACAGAUGCAAGUUUUGCAUGACUACUAUGUACUGAAAUAUAUAUGAUGUCUGGUUUGUAUGAGGUUAAUCAUUCAGGGUUCAUGAUUCAUGAGCAAACCAGCAUGAAGUUUUAGUGUAUAUUCCAGCAGACCUUGAGCAUGGGUCGGUGACUUGCUUUGUUCUCUGGCCACCAACAUCUUCUAAAUGGCACUGAAAAAUAAGCGGAAACUGUUUUAAAACCUGAGAUAAAGUAUGUUUGCACAGUUGUAUACAUUGCUGUGAUAUUAUAAGCUAUAAAUCUUUUAUCACACAACAAAAGCGAAGGAGUGUAUCCAGUCCAGACUCCUGUUUCAAAACAAGAGAAAAUAAAAUCUCAUCAAAAUAUGUCAAUGUUGUUUCAAAACAGGAGUGUAUACAGUGACUUGACAUUAAUACAUUGAUCAAAAAGACAAAAAAUAGUGAAAGAGCAUGCUGCGACCAAAUUCCAAGUUGCAGCAACACUUACUAUAGCCUAACAAUUAGCAAAAUAAUAAGGUGGAUACUGGGGACAAUUCCUAGAUUUUUGCGUCAUGAUUUAAUAUUUAUAAGUACGUGCUUAUAACAGUGAAAUCCAGUAAUAAGUCACUGUAUGCUACUGCUAAGCUCCACUUAUUAGAGUUCUAGGUAUAUAACCUAAAUAAAAUAUGAUGGCCGUGCAUAGCGCCAGUCCGAUCUGCACAACAGUGAAUAUCAUAUGCAUAAAUUACCUAACCAAAAUAACAAUAAAAAAAGAUAUUGAACCCUACACACUUUGGUCCAUCAGAAACAGUCCAGGCAUUGUUGGCUUGAUGCCGAUACAUUACACACUAAUAAAAAUAAGAAAUUAUGCAAAGAUUCCGAGGUUCGUUUGACAUCAAAACAGAAAUACCCAAUAUGAGUUGGAAACCAUUUUUUUCAUACAUGGAAAGAAACAAGGCAAGUGAAGAAACAAUAUCAUUUAUAAUUGCAAGAGGACAAUUGGAGUGUAGCAAAUUAAGGACAAGCUCAGGAUGCUAAAUUCUAGAAACCAAAACUCUCGCCCUUCCCAAAUUAAUUGAAGUUCUAGGUUUGUCUAAGUCAAACUUAUUUAAGUUUGACCAAGUCUAUAGAAAAAUAUGCUUAGAUCUACAAUACCAAAUAUAUAUAAAACGGAAAUACAUUUUGUGAAAAAUACCAAGAAGCCGGAUUCAGUUCAGUCCCGUUUUCAAGAUCCGGUUCAGUGUAAUGAAACUAAUUUGGUGUUGUAGGUCUUGAUAUAUUUUUCUUAUAGACUUCGUCAAAUUUGAAUAAGGACAAAGCUAGAACUUCAAAGUAAUCCACAAUAGACAAACUGAAGCAUACUAAAUGAAAGACAAGCUCUUGCAUGCUACACCUUAGUUUUAGAAUAGACAAACAGGCACGUUCUAACUUCUAAGGGAAAACAUGGUUAGAUAGAUGAUUACAACUUGCACAUGAAAGAACAGGGGUAACUAUUGUUAACAGAAAACAGCCAACAAAUAUAUUGCGCUUUAUGAGGUUACAGAGUACAAACUUAACUUGAAAAUGACAGUGUUCAAAAUAGACAAUGAAAAAUUCAUCAGUACUGAACAUAAUUAACAGAAGUUAUUUUGAGGGUACAUAAGAAUAUUCAUGGAACAAACAACAUGAAGAUACAUAUAGCUGCAAUCUUAAACAAAAAUCCAAGCACAUUUGUCUGUAAAAAGCUAACAAACUCUGUGAUACUUCCAGCUAAUAUGUUCAGAGAAACAGGAGCAUGAGAAAAAAUAACAGAAACUAUAUGAUUUAACUGGUUUCAAAACAUGAAGUCGUAAAAGCUCUUGUUUAUGACUUUGCGUCCAUUGAUAAUGAAGAAUCAGAGUAGUGAGAAAGACUGUAAAUGUUCUGAAAAUUAAAAGAAAAGAGAGAUUGCAUGUUCAUCUUAGCUGCAGUGCUGAUCGUGAGAAGUACAUCCUAUACGUUUUACCAAGGGAAAAAUAGGGAUAACAGAAAGUCACUGUUGUCACUGUUCUAGUGAAGAAUUUCAUGCUAUCUACCUUCUUGGUUUACCCCCUAGUGCUUCGAUUCAUAUGCAAUUACACAACUGAUCAGUGAAAGACUAGCAAAAUAUUUCUUUUCGAAUGGAUACUGCUCAACUACAACAGGAGGUUAGUACCUCCCAAACUAGAUAAGGCAUGUGACACAAUUUCAUCCGAACUAUCAAACAGGUUUUGCAAGCGGCAGUCUUCACUCUAAGAAACUAGAUGGAGUCAUUUUUAAAGUGGACUUUGAGAAAGCGUACGACAAAGUUAAGUGGCCUUUCCUGCAACAAGCUCUGCGUAUGAAAGGGUUCGACGAGGGCUGGAGGAGCCAGAUUGAAUCGUUUACGCAGAAGGGUAGUGUUGGUAUUAAAGUGAAUGACGACAUUGGUCAUUACUUCCAGACACACAAGGGCUUGCGGCAAGGUGAUCCGAUGUCCCCUAUUCUGUUCAACAUAGUGGUGGACAUGUUGGCAGUUCUGAUAGGGAGAGCCAAGGAGGCAGGCCAAGUUGGAGGCUUGGUGCCUCAUUUAGUGAAUGGAGGUAUUUCCAUCCUGCAGUACGCUGAUGACACUAUCAUCUUCAUGGAGCAUGACUUGGUAAAAGCAAGAAAUAUGAAGCUGUUGCUUUGUUUGUUUGAGCAAUUGAGUGGGCUCAAAAUUAACUUCCAUAAAAGUGAGUUGUUCUGCUUUGGUAGAGCCAAAGAGGAACAAGAAGCCUAUAAACAAUUGUUUGGGUGUGGUUUGGGGGAGUUACCAUUCACAUACCUAGGGAUUCCAAUACAUCACCGUAGGCUUACGAACAAUGAAUGGAAGUGUAUUGAAGAUCGAUUUGAGAAAAAGCUAAGCUGUUGGAAGGGUAAGCUAAUGUCAUAUGGAGGCCGGUUAAUUCUUAUUAAUUCGGUGUUGACGAGUAUGCCCAUGUUCCUUUUGUCUUUUUUUGAAGUACCGGUUGGGGUAAGGAAAAGACUGGACUUCUAUCGAUCGCGGUUCUUUUGGCAGGGAGAUGAGCUAAAAAGAAAAUACCGGUUAGCGAAGUGGGAUAUCAUUUGUAGGCCGAAAGACCAAGGGGGUAUGGGGAUUGAAAAUCUCGAGGUCAAGAACCGAUGCCUUCUUAGUAAGUGGUUAUGGAAGUUAGCUUCAGCAACUGAAGCCACUUGGGCUCAAAUCCUUCGUAAUAAGUAUCUUCAAACCAAAACUUUGUCUCAGGUCACGGUUAGACCGACUGAUUCACCCUUUUGGAAAGGGCUAAUGAAAGUUAAGCUUUCAUUCUUUCAGAGGGCAAAGCAUGUUGUUGGAAAUGGUGCCAGCACAAGAUUCUGGGAGGAUUGUUGGCUCGGUGAUACGCCCCUUGCAAUCCAGUAUCCGGCGUUGUAUCGUGUUGUACAAAGGCGUGAUACUCUGGUUGCAACAGUCUUUCGUUCCAUUCCACUUAAUAUUCAAUUUAGAAGAUCGUUAGUGGGCAAUCGUUGGGAACAGUGGCUGCAUCUAGUUAGGAGACUGAUGCAGGUCCAGCUUUCACAACAACCUGAUAAACUGCGCUGGAAUCUCACUAGGUCGGGGGAAUUCACAGUUAAAUCCAUGUAUGUUGCUGUUAUCAACUCCAGCUCGAUUCCUACUUCCAAGCAUGUGUGGGAUGUCAAAGUUCCUUUGAAGAUUAAGGUGUUUAUGUGGUUUCUUCAUAAACAAGUCAUCUUAACAAAGGAUAAUUUAAAAAAGCGCAAUUGGACAGGUCCUACUAGGUGUAGUUUCUGUGAUCAGGGUGAAACCAUUAAGCAUUUAUUCCUUGAGUGCCCACUAGCUAGAAUUCUUUGGACAACUGUUCAUGUUGCUUUCAAUAUUACUCCACCAAAUUCGGUGAAUAUGAUGUUUGGAGCUUGGCUUAAUAGGGUAGAGCCCGGGUUAGCUAAACAUAUUUGCGUGGGGGUGUGCGCCUUAGUGUGGGCACUGUGGAAUUGCAGAAAUGAUCUUGUUUUUAACAGAACAACAAAAACUCAUGUUUUGCAGGUUAUCUUCAGAGCCACGGCACUUAUCCGUUCCUGGUCGCUACUCACUCCGACGGAGGCCAGGGAGCGUUUGGUUACUGGUGCUAUCCGAUGGGAGACGGUAGCUCGGGAUAUCUUCAGCCGGUUUGGAUGGCGGUCAUGUAAUAGGAUAGGCAAUUAGUUUACCUGUCUUUUGUUGAGCCAAUCGGCUGUGGUUUAUCCUUUGUUGGGCUAGCUUAUGUAUCUAGCCUUUGGGUUCUGUGUGAGCCUUUUCGUUUUCUUUUUAGUUUGCUACUACUCAGACUUCGAGACUUUGUGGAUGUUUUAUUAUUAAUAAGAUGGCCGUAUGCAUCAUGCUGAUGCAGAGGCCGGGGAUCCCCCUUUUCGAAAAAAAAAGUCGUGUUUUCAACAAGAAAGGCAGAAAACUAAAACAUCCGUGACAGAAGUUUCAUUUCUCAAUAUAUAUGUACCAACACAUUAAUGAUUAAUAAAAGUACAGAUAGACUCCUCAAAAUACUUGGGCCAGAUGCUGCACCAGUGAUAUAGAAUGAUCAAGGUAUAGUGCCACAAGGUUUUACCUAAUCUAAUUUUCCACCCUUCCCUCUGUUUCAAACCUACACUUGCUAACCUAGCAGCAACUGUGGAGUUUUGCAGUAUGCUGGUUUUACUUACAUGAACAAAUUUUAUGUUGGGAGCAGGGAGUAUCCAAGAGGUGUGAUGCUUCCAGCUAAUUGUACAUGCCAGAAAAAAUAUGGUUGAUUCUAGAGCUAAGUUGAUACUCCGAGAGGUGUUCUACGCAUGGGAGCUUAUCAGCUACUCAGUUCAUCUACCGUGUGGAUUUUGAUCUCAACAAUUCAUUUAAAUCAAACAUAGUAUGCAGUUCCCAAACAGAAUGUACUCAAGAGUCCAAAAGCGAAGAUCAGAGGCAGAUUGUUGAAUUGGGAACAUACUGCACAUGAGAAUGUCAUGGCACCACGAACUCUGUUGGGAAACAAGAAGCUAAUUCCAAAACAAUAAAAAUGAAGAAUUUGUAUAGCUAGACCUAUAUGGACUGACAUAGGAUAGACUGAAUACAUAAUUCUGCUAGUGCUGAGACAAUCAAGUGGUACUUCAAUGCCAAUAAUUUCCAGAUUUUGAACCAACUCUAAACCACAGCAACGAAAACUCAAUAACUUCAGCUCAAGAGCUAAACUCAUUAACGAAAUAUGAAGAAUAAAAAUAGAGAAUCAUAAAAAGAACACAUCUGAUAAUCAUAAAGCAAGGUAACAAUCCUAAAAGACCGAUUCUGCAUACACUGUUCGGGGAAAAGAGAACAUUGAAGCAGUUGGGUAAGAUUUUCUUUUAGCAUAGUACACCUAGCUGACCACAAGGAAAUUUGACGAAUAAAAAUAGAGAAUCAUAAAGAGAACACAUCUAAUAAUCAUAAAGCAAGGCAACAAUCCCAAAAGACCGAUUCUGCAUACAGUGUCCGGGGGGAAGAGAACACUGGAGCCGUUGGCAAAGAAUAUUUUUUUAGCAUAUAGUACACCUAGAUGAUCACAAGGAAGAAGUAAUCGAGCAUGAGAAUAUAAAGCUACACACAUCUCAAUGACAUCAUUUACUCAAACUGGGAACACAACCUAGGUUUUUGCGGCAAUUAAACUGCUCCACGACUAAGUACAAGCAAAUUCCCGCAUUACAGAUAUGGCUUGAGCUGUUGGCUAAUCUUAUCAUGAGUAUAGCCCAUACAUAAGGACCAAUCUUGGCAUCAUAAUUGACAAAUACAAAUGCCCUAAAUACCUAUAAUCACCGAGAUGAACACGAAAUCAUGAUUAAUAGGCUACUUAAGCAAUUAAUUUAGAGGACCAGCACUACGGCCCUGUUACAGACGGCAAUUCCUCUGCAAUAUCUUGCAUAGAGCACAAUACAUCAACAGAGUAAACCGAAAGCUUACGCAUUCCUUGGGGACGACCAACUCGUGGAGACAGGAACAACCGAGAAUCGCAGACGACGCCUGAAAACCUAACCCCAGUCCCCAGAGCAAGUCCUCCACGGGAAAGACCAGCACACAGCAACGAUUAAGCCGCGCACAAGAUAAUCCGCGAGUGGAUUGACGGAGAAGGGAGGGGGAGCCCAAACCUUGGCCUGCCGGAGCGUCGAUCGUUCAGGGCGGAGGUGCGAAGAGAGGAAACCGGGAGGGGGAUUUCAAGUUUGUUCAUCGUUUGGUUUGGCUUUUAGUUGGGGAAAUACGGUCUGCCGUGAAGGGCGAACUUCUGGAGGAUAU
rnacentral:lncRNA from 1 species